AUUAUGAGCGAGUCUCAUUAAAACACAGAUUCUCCGAAAAAUGGAGUCAACUGCUUGAAACAAACUGACAAGUUGAAUACACCUCUAGAUAUUGUCUUCCUGACAGCCACUAGGGGCGCUUUCUGCUCUAGAACAGAGUCAAACUCGCUCCUGCAAUCAAACGGCUUCUGAUGGCAGUAUGUGAUUGGAGGAGCGCCACAUGUGGCCACGCAUGCCUAGUUCAAAUCUAUUGCUUCAUUAUGGGAAGCAUUGGAGUGGAGGAGAUCGGGGACGACACACUACUGUAGGCAUGUUGACCUGUUCAUAGAAGAAAUUGCUGCUGCAGCAGAGGAGACCAGUGG